rnacentral:misc_RNA from 1 species
UUAAUCCUAACGGGGUUUCUAAAUUCUGUCGACCAAUUAAAAAGUAUCAAGCUAUAAUCGAAGACGCUUACAUGCGGAUACUUCAUUCGAAAUCGUAUAAUUUCUAAUACAUCGGUAACAGACAACGUUGAUUUAUUAGAUAUUCACGUUAGCCUCUUCCGAUCGUAUAGAACAACGAGCAAGAUGGGUCAGUGGUCGAUGUUAAAAUUACAUUGUUUUUAAAAGUGUAAAUCUGAAAUUGAUAAAUAUGUGUUGUUCUCAUCGACUGUUGAAUUUGUUUUAAUUAUAGUUUCGUUAAAUGUAAACCUCGUGGUCUUAAAACUGCGCGUAAGCAUGUAAACCACAGACGCGAUCAGCGAUGGAAUGAUAAAGACUACAAAAAAGCUCACUUGGGAACGCGGUGGAAAGCCAAUCCAUUCGGUGGUGCUUCUCAUGCUAAGGGUAUUGUUUUAGAAAAGGUUGGUGUAGAAGCCAAACAACCAAACUCUGCUAUUCGUAAAUGCGUACGAGUGCAGCUUAUCAAAAAUGGCAAGAAAAUUACUGCUUUUGUACCUAGGGAUGGUUGUUUAAACAAUAUCGAGGAGAAUGACGAAGUUUUGGUAGCAGGUUUUGGUCGUAAAGGUCACGCCGUGGGUGAUAUUCCAGGAGUUCGAUUCAAAGUAGUAAAAGUUGCUAAUGUUUCGUUACUUGCACUUUAUAAAGAAAAGAAAGAACGACCUAGAUCAUAAAAUCAUUGUCAUGUAUUUCUAACAAAUCUGUAAAAGAUUUUUAAAUCAAUUAAUAUUUUAUUAAUUAACCGUUUUAAUUAAUUACUAAUUUACCCGUACCUGUAGAAGCUUUUACUUUUACAAAGGUACAAAAAUACAAACGCAAAGACCGACGUUUUAAAAAACAGUUGAAAGAGAAUUAGUAUUACAAAUCAAUAAGUAUGGAAAUAUGCAUUCUUAACUUCUACAAUAUAUGUAAUAAUAACAUUUUUAAUAAUUUCAUUCAAUGAAGUAUUUAACUUUCCUAUUGUGGUACAUUGGCAUUCAAUAUUUACCUUUUUGUUUGUAGGAACUGAACAUCAAAUAAUUUUCAUUUAUAUAAAUUAAUAUUAAUUAUAUUAAAUAUAAGCUAGUAUAUAAAAAUAUACAAAAUUUGUCUUAAUGAUGAAAAGUUUGAAUUUAUAUUAUUAAUAUCAGUAUUCCUGGAGUAUAAUGUAUUCUUGAUACAUUUUGCAUUAAAUGUGACUAUGAAUCAAUGGAUUAAUGCAUGCGUUUCCAUAUAAUUUCUUUUCUCUUCAUUAAGUAACAAAUCUCAAUUAUUUUCAUUAGUUGGUACAAUCAGUAAAGGAAUGAUUCUAUAUGAUAAAUGAAUUGAAAAAGUAAAACAUAGCUUUUUCAUUUCUGGUUCAUUUUCAGAAAUAUACUUUCUUAUAAGGUACCAUUAUUUUUGUAGUUGUAGAAUUAAUUAUAGGC